AAGAUGCUUGAGAGAAUUUAGAUAAAAGUGAAUAUAAUAGAUCCUGGACCAAUUAGAGAUCACUUGAAUGAUGCACCGGUAAGAUCGGAGAAUGAUAACUGCAAACUGAGAAUGAAUAAACCUGAAUUGAUGGACUUCGGAUAAUCAAUCUGAAAAGACUCCUGAAUUUGCACCGAAUGGGUGAAAAGAAUAGUCACAAAGAAAACAAUUAUGAGAGGAAGACAUCAAGCUAGAACCACGAAUCUUUGAUAGAACGAAACAAGAUUCAAGGGAAAACUCUUCUUCGGUCUUCAAAUGCAGAGAAUGACGAUGAGAAACACCACCAUGAAUUAUUUAGGCACUCCGUAAGAAUUAAAAUGAAGAGGUUGAGCCAACGAUGAAAAGAAUUUGAAAGAUAUUGGAGAAAGCCUCUGACUGAUGAAAAUUCAUUCUUACGUCACACUUCGAAAAGAAAUUUGGAUAGCUCCGGGAAAAUAAGAAGAGUCAGGUAAGAUCCUGGAAAAAGACCUGUGGGUUAGGGCCCACUCAAAAGAAACACCAUUGAAAUGAUUAAAAAGAGAGGUUUCACCGGUUGAUUUAAAUGUAUUGAAUGAGAUAACAACCUCGAAAUAGGUUUGAACGGAUCUUGAAGGAAAAGACGAGGCUUCCAAGAUAUCUUCAGCACUCCAGAAUAAUUGAAUAGCGAGAAAUGAAUGAAUAUGAUGAGCACCGGUAUGAUAAAACUUCUGAAACGAGGAAAGGAUAUGAUCAACACCAAAAGCUUGAAUUGAAUCCACCGGAGAAGAAAAAGAAUGAUGAAAAAUGAGCUAGUAGAACAUCUUCAUGGAAAACACCGGGUAAGAACAUUGACGGAAAAAGGAAUGGAGAGACUUCACAAUAAUAAAAGGAUACUUGAUUAAGAAAUCUGAGUCGUCGAAGAAAAAGGGUGGGUGGGCGGGAAAACAAAGGCAACUUGGGGACGGAUGAAACAAACACCGUUGAGAAGAAAUGAUAAUUGAUCUUGCUGAUGUUGAAAUGAUCGGAUCCACUUGAAGAGAAAACACGCCGGUGAAAAGGAUUGACAAGACAAUCUUGAUGAUCAAGAAGGAUUGGUAUCCACAUCAGAGUAUGAGAACACCAUUUGGGGAAGGUAUGGAAUCAACACUUGACAUUGAAGCAACUCGAAUACCACAACUCAAAACAAAAACAAAGGAUUGGCUUGCAGAAUAAGCCGGAACAAACAUAUGAUAGAGAUUUCGUCCGAAGUUUUCAUGGUGGGGCCUACACGGGCUCGAUCGUACAGCACCAUCAUGUACAAGGCAGUGCACAUGACAUACGAAGCGUCCCCGAGUCAGCAUAGCCAAGGACUCUUUAAGACACAACGAGACCACUAUAAAACCAACCGUGGAUAGGCGGACCACUAGACGUCGAACCCCAAUUUCAAAUCAUACAUCUGACGGAAAAGAUAUCCUAAGAGCUACUUGAAUUCCCACUUAUAAACUCUUGAACCUUUCCGGUUAUGCAAUCAGGUGUUGGGGAUACAGGGGAAGCAUAAUAUCUCACCCAAAACUAGCAAAUCCUGCAUCCAGAUGUAUCCAUCCUUCAACACAUAACCAAGAAACCUUCGGAAAUCAUCUACCUCAACCUUCGAAAAGCAUCCGUUAUAUGAGUUAUGGCAAUACUCCCGAACUCCCGCCCCAGUACUGGGUGGCAUCGAGGUUAUCUCACCAACAACUGCAUAAAAGAGAUUUUCGAUGUCGGCGAAACUAAACUCAGGUAUUCCAGAACUACAACGAUAAAAUUGUGACGACAACACCUUGGAGCUCAACUCCCCGAGACACUGCCACAACCCCUAAAUGUCAGGAGGCACCAAGAACAAUGUUCUCGUCACAAAUCGUUCAGAACGAUUCCAAGAUACCCGCGUGAUCCUAAAAUUUUUUUAGUGAAAUUUGAGAAGAGAAGAGUCAAAACUCUACGUCAGGAGGCCUCACCAGAGCGACGAAGGGACUGAGGAGUAAAAAGAAUUCCUAACUCUCCGAUAUAUAUAAUCCUAAAUGACUCAAAACAUUUUCUAGACUCAACUCGUCCGCUGAUUCGAUCAAGCAGUGGGGGCUCCUAAGGUCGGGGAAGGCUCUGAUUACCAACUUGUAACGCCCAUGAUGCGGCUAUAUCUCCCACGUGUCGAAGCACGACUUAGAGGCAUAACCGCAUUGAAAGCAAUGUCGCAAGUGAGGUAAUCUUCACAUAACCCAUGUAAUACAUAAGGGAAAGAGAUACAUAGUUGGCUUACAAUCGCCACUUCGCACAAUUACAUGAAUAAAGCAUUACAUCAACCAGUUACAAUCAAGGCCCAACUACGGAGCCAAAAUAAAACAAGACUACCCCAAAUGCUACACAGAUCCCCGAUCUUCCCGACUGGGCUCCACUACUGAUCAACUGGAAAGGAACAACACAAAGGACAAGAUCUUCAUCGAGCUCCUCCUGAGCUAGGUUGCGUCAUCGGUAUGGACUCAUCGGCACCUGCAAGCUGGUUUUGGAAGUAUCUGUGAGUCACGGGGACUCAACAAUCUCGCACCCUCGCGAUCAAGACUAUUUAAGCUUAUGGGAAAGGUAAAGGUAUGAGGUGGAGCUGCAGCAAGAGACUAGCAUAUAUGGUGGCUAACAUACGCAAAUGAGAGCGAGAAGAGAAGGCAAAGCACGGUCGAUAAAAGUUUGAUCAAGAAGUGAUCCUAGAACAACCUAUGUCAAGCAUAACUCCAACACCAUGUUCACUUCCUGGACUCCGCCGAAAAGAGACCAUCACGAUUACACACGCGGUUGAUGUGUUUUAAUUAAGGUCAACUUCAGGUUCUCUACAACCGGACAUUAACAAAUUCCCAUCUGCCCAUAACCGCGGGCACGACUUUCGAAAGUUCAAAUCCCUGCAGGGGUGUCCCAACUUAUCCCAUAACAAGCUCUCACGGUCAUCGAAUGAUAUUCCUUCUAGCGGGAAGACCCAAUCAGACUCGGAAUCCCGGUUACAAGACAUUUCGACAAUGGUAAAACAAAUCCAGCAACACCGCCCGAAUGUGCCGACAAAUCCCGAUAGGAGCUGCACAUAUCUCUUUCUCAGGGCACACUCAGAUUGUCCAAGGUACGGGUAGGCCAGCCCAGAGUUGCCCCUGGUGGCCACCGGCAGCUGACAGGUUGNNNNNNNNNNNNNNNNNNNNNNNNNNNNNNNNNNNNNNNNNNNNNNNNNNNNNNNNNNNNNNNNNNNNNNNNNNNNNNNNNNNNNNNNNNNNNNNNNNNNNNNNNNNNNNNNNNNNNNNNNNNNNNNNNNNNNNNNNNNNNNNNNNNNNNNNNNNNNNNNNNNNNNNNNNNNNNNNNNNNNNNNNNNNNNNNNNNNNNNNNNNNNNNNNNNNNNNNNNNNNNNNNNNNNNNNNNNNNNNNNNNNNNNNNNNNNNNNNNNNNNNNNNNNNNNNNNNNNNNNNNNNNNNNNNNNNNNNNNNNNNNNNNNNNNNNNNNNNNNNNNNNNNNNNNNNNNNNNNNNNNNNNNNNNNNNNNGUAAAAUAAUGAUGACCCUUGAGUCUGCAGAACCCAAGGGAAAGAAAAGGCUAGGUGGCAAAUGGUAAAACCAAUGUUGGGCAUUGCUGGAAGAGUUUUAUUCAAGCGAACUGUCAAGGGGUUACCAUUAUAACCCAACCGCGUAAGGAACGCAAAAUUCAGGAACAUAACACCGAUAUAACGGAAACUAGGGCGGCAAGAGUGGAACAAAAUGUCAUGCAUAAGGCCGAGCCUUCCACCCUAUACCAAGUAUAUAGAUGCAUUAAUUAAAAUAAGAUAUAUUGUGAUAUCCCAACAAGUAAACAUGUUCCAACAAGGAACAACAUCUCCAUGUUCCAACAAGGAACAAACUUCAAUCUUCACCUGCAACUAACAACGCUAUAAGAGGGGCUGAGCAAAGCGGUAACAUAGCCAAACAACGGUUUGCUAGGACAAGGUGGGUUAGAGGCUUGGUUCAACAAUAUGGGAGGCAUGAUAAGUAAGUGGUAGGUAUCAUAGCAUAGGCAUAGCAAAAGAGCGAGCAUCUAGCAAGCAAAGAUAGAAGUGAUUUCGAGGGUAUGGUCAUCUUGCCUGAGAUCCCACAAGGAAGAAGAACGAGUCCAUGAAGAAGACAAACGGACAUAGUCGAACGGAUCCUCACAAACGCGACGUUACCGGAUUACCGAGAAGAAGUGCACCGGAAAGAAGCAAACAACAUAGUAAACAACCACCACAUAAUCAUGGCACGAUGCGCAAACAAGUAUGAUGCAUGUCCAGUUUAAAGAGGCAUGGCAUGGAAAAAUGCACAAACAAUACUACAAAUUAAGUGGAGCUCAAUAUGCAAAGAGUUGCAUAUUGACGAAACACCACGACAAGUUAGUUUGUCCGAUCUCAUUUAUUUACCCAACAAUAUUAAAUGUUGUUAAACAUGGCAAGAGGGUGAAGCAAAGUAAAACUACCUAUCUAGUCAAGGUUAAAUGUGGCCGGAACAACAAAACAACAAGUCCGGAAACUCCUCAUGUGCAUAUUUUGGUUAUGGUACUAUUCUUCCCUAAACAUAAUUUUAGAGUUGUUAAACAUGCUAGAUGAGUGCAUCAUGUUAAACUAGGCAUUUUUCCACCCCAUUUACAUAUAAAGAUUAUUUGAAACCGAGCUACGGUUAUUUAGUUAUGAAUUAAACCGUUUUAGCAAGUUAUUUAAGAAGAUUUAUACAAACAGCAUUUUAAACAUUUUAAACCUAGAUGAAAGUUGCAUAUUAUUAAACUAGAUGAAAUUCUAAGCAAGUUUCAUAUAUAAUUUAUUUUAAUCCGAUGCACGGUUUGUGAGAUAUUAAAUGCAUGAUCAAUAAGGGUUUUUCUGUAAAACUGCAAUUCCCUGGAAAUUAGCUAAAUUCGCGGAACCAAAAAAAACAUCCUCUGGGCCGAAACUGAACUGGCCCAGCAGUAAUAAAAAAAGGAGGGGGCGCUUGGGGUGGCCUCACCCAUGGGCUUCGGCCCAUUUGAGGAGGAGGGGUAGGCCGGCAGGGCGCGCAUCUGGGCCUGGAGCGCUGGCAGGCCGGCCCACACGGGCGCUGGAUGGAUCACCCCUGCCGAUCCCACUGGAUCGAGGCAGGGACGGGCGUGGUCAACGGGCACGGUCGAGCGGUUCCAGGAGCGGGGGGACUUGGCAUCGGUCAGCGCAGGGGAAAUGGCAAUGCUCUGCCAAUCCGGACGAAGCAGGGGCGCGGUUCUCGCCGGGGAACUUGGCGCGAUGCGGAAGAGAUCCGGCGAGGUGGCCUCAGCAAGGACCGACCAGAACGGGACUGGGACGGCGGCGACUUGAGGAGCUCGGCUGGCGGCAUCCGUACCAGCGAACAGAGGAGGCUUGGACGAGCGGGACGGCGAUGGAGGACGAGGAAGCAGGGGCGCAUGAGGAGCGCUCAGGGAUGCGAAGGACAAACGGCGACGCGGCGUAUGUGAAGGCUGGGUUUGGGGGACUUGGCGGCCUCCAUCCAUGGCAUCUCGAGGCAGAACUCCUCUGGUUCCUGCGGAAGCAAGAGAAGUAGAGAGAGAGAGAGGGAUUAGAGCAGAGGAGAAAGGAGACGCCAGGAAAAGAGGAGAAGGGGCGCAGGUCACGGCCUAGUGUCGCUGGUUGCCGGCGAGGAGUGAUUUGGAGGCCUCGGGCACGAGGAAAUCGGCGAGCGAUGUGGGUUGGUUGGCUGCAGAAAACGAGGUGGAGCAGAUCGGAAAAGGAUCCCAAGGGAGAUGGAAGAGAGUGGCGGCGACGGAGGAUCGCUAGAAAUUAGGGAUUUGGUCUUCGGAUAGACUAAUAUAUAUAGCGGGUAGGUUAGGCUAGGGGCUAUCUCGUCCCUCCGAUCGUAAUCGAACGGACGGAAAAAAUAGCUUAGGUAGCCCAAAUAAGGAAAUGGUAAUAUUUUGUAGAUGUUUGGGGAUGUUCCGGACACAACAAUAGCGACAGCCCGGGUCGGGUCCGGGAUAACUUUCGGACGCGCGCGAGGGGCCAAUGCACUGUACAAUGAGGGGUAGGCAUGGGCCUAGGUGGACUGUGGAGAGCGGGUUGGUCUGAGAGAAGAGGGGAGAGAAACAGCCCGGCACGGUUUUCGGAGACCGAAAACGUCCGGCGAAAAGACCGACUAUACCGCCGCUGUAGUUUAACGGUUGGGCUAUCAAACGAACUCCGAAUGCGAUGAAACUUGACAGGCGGUCUAUCUACACUAUAAUAAGACCGCACGCCAACUUUCAACCCAAUCCGAGAACAUUUUCGGCCACUUAUAAAAUACUAUUUUGGACUUGCCACGGGCGCGUGCAAGUGUGGUUGGGCUCAGAACGAACAACAGAGAGAACUCGGAGAACUCGGAGGAAUGCAAGUUUUGAAAACAUGAUGAUGCAAUGCACAUGAUGACAUGGUAAGAUGCAACACGCAAGCGAAUGACAAAGCAACAACAGCGAAUAACUGGAGGACACCUGGCACAACGGUCUCGGGGCGUCACAACACUCCACCACUACGAGAGGAUCUCGUCCCGAGAUCUAGAAUGGCACCGGAGGGAAAAUAGAAGAGAAAGAGAAGAGGUAAAACUAAGUUGCUCCUUUGACAAACGAGUGAAACCAAAGAACCUUGAAAAGGUUAAGCCAUUUUGAGAAAAUAAUACAACGGAGAUAAAUGAAGUUGAAAGCACUCCGUUAGCAAAGAGGAACAAGGAAGAACAACUUUGGGCAGCACUCCGGUUGAGAAGGGAUGCAAGACUUUAUAAGAUCAAAAGAACUAGAAGAGAAGACACAACACUCCGGUUAGUUGAAUAAGCAAAGGAGAGAACACGAUCCUGACAAAAACAGAAGAUGGUUGAAGAGAGCAACAUCACAAUGCCUCCAGAACAAAAGUAAGAAUGGAAUGAAUGAAGGAAAAAAAACGAGAGCAUGCUUACAAGAAAUGCCAGAACGUUCACGGAAAAAAAAUUGGAUUGAUAAGAACAAGGAGACGAGAAACUUAUUUCACCUGGAGGGUAGAUGGAGAACUUGCAUCUUAUAUUAUCACCAUUAAUAGCAUUAAUCCUUAGGGAAGGCUUUAGGCGAAAUAUAACCCCAGAUAAAUCCAAUGACGAGAUUGAUGGAUUUUAAAUACCUCAUUCUUAACAACAUGCGUAUCAUGAUACAUGAACUCAAAUGAUUAGGAAUGACAUAAUACCACCUCGAAUGAUACGGUUGAAAGAAUUGCACUCCGGAUUGCAAGAUGAAGAAAACUUGAUCUCCUUAAAAGAAUCUCGAUGAAAAACUUCGAGAAGGAAUUAAAUCCUUGAUGAACCAUCAUGUAGAACCUCCAUGAAGAACUCCCGUAAUAAAAGAAUGAUCAAACAAAAGGAAAGAGAAGUUGAAAACACAAGGUGAAUCCUUGUAAUGAUUAGAUGGGUCUUCGCGACGAGAUAAAACGGAAAACCUCGGAACUGCGAAAAAGAAAAGAUGAAACAAAUGAAACUGAGAAUUUGAUGAGCCUCCGAAAUACGGAGUUAAACACUUGGUUGAAACAAGAAUAAGUAUUACAUUAUGCUUAUCCUUCAUCAAUUAAAUUGAUGACAAUCAAUAGAUUUGGCAUACUACUUAUUAUCGUGGAAAGGAUUAAAGAGAGGUAUAACUUAAGCUUGAGAAGGUCUUCAACGAACCACCGGUAGGAUUGAAACAACGAAUAAAUUGAUAAAGAAGACAAAUCUUGAACGAACCACCGUAAGAAUUAAAAAUGAACGAAGAGAAGAUAAAGAAAACACCGGGAAGAAUUAUCAAAUGAAUGAAGAUGCUUGAGAGAAUUUAGAUAAAAGUGAAUAUAAUAGAUCCUGGACCAAUUAGAGAUCACUUGAAUGAUGCACCGGUAAGAUCAGAGAAUGAUAACUGCAAACUGAGAAUGAAUAAACCUGAAUUGAUGGACUCCGGAUAAUCAAUCUGAAAAGACUCCUGAAUUUGCACCGGAUGGGUGAAAAGAAUAGUCACAAAGAAAACAAUUAUGAGAGGAAGACAUCAAGCUAGAACCACGAAUCUUUGAUAGAACGAAACAAGAUUCAAGGGAAAAC
rnacentral:lncRNA from 1 species